GUGGGGAAUAUUGGUCAAUGGGCGCAAGCCUGAACCAGCCAUGCCGCGUGCAGGAAGACGGUCCUAUGGAUUGUAAACUGCUUUUAUUUGGGAAUAAACUCCGGUACGUGUACCGGCCUGAAGGUACCAAAUGAAUAAGCACCGGCUAACUCCGUGCCAGCAGCCGCGGUAAUACGGAGGGUGCAAGCGUUAUCCGGAAUCAUUGGGUUUAAAGGGUCCGCAGGCGGUCUUAUAAGUCAGUGGUGAAAGCCUACAGCUCAACUGUAGAACUGCCAUUGAUACUGUAGGACUUGAAUUCGAUCGAAGUGGGCGGAAUGUGACAUGUAGCGGUGAAAUGCUUAGAUAUGUCACAGAACACCGAUAGCGAAGGCAGCUCACUAGGUCUGGAUUGACGCUCAGGGACGAAAGCGUGGGGAGCAAACAGGAUUAGAAACCCCGGUAGUCC
rnacentral:rRNA from 1 species